CCGCACCAUCGACCGACCAUGAUCUUCUGUGAAAGGUUUGAGUACGAGCAUACCUGUUGGGACCCGAAAGAUGGUGAACUAUGCCUGAGCAGGGCGAAGCCAGAGGAAACUCUGGUGGAGGCUCGUAGAUGUGCUGACGUGCAAAUCGCUUUUCGGACUUGGGUAUAGGGGCGAAAGACUAAUCGAACCAUCUAGUAGCCAGACAUCGGAGGCGCGAUCAGAGGGCUAUAAUGGCGAGAGACGAGGAGAGCGUGGCAGCCUGGGUGAAUGGUCUUUCGGGAUCAGCACGCCAGCGGCUGUAUGCGUUUAUGGUGCGACAUGCUGGGCCAAUGCAAAGGGUGCUAUCAUGCACCAAUCCCAACCUCCGCUUCUUCCAGCCUCUAGAGGCUGGAGGGAUGACCGGCGCCGACUUUGCCGAGUUCGCUACCUGUGAACUGUGGCCUCCUGGCGCUGGGAAAGAUGCAAGUGGGCAUCCCCGAUGRCAGCUGAACUUCACCCAGCAAGCCCCGUCGGUUGUCAAAGCUGGCCUUGGCCAAGUGAAGACGCCGAUAAAGCGGCAGAUGGGUCAAGACCCAGUCCUGAAACGGAUCAAGUCUGAAGUGCUACUCGGAGAUGUUGUGGCAUGGGCGAAGCUAAAAGCCAUCGCAAGCAAAGACUCGGUAAAGCCGCACAUCAAGUGCUGGCCACACCAUGUCGCGUUGGCCACGCGCUACCCCAGUGACCCUGAUCCGAUUCCACUCAACUGUGGGUCGGGGGGUUCUGCCGAUCACCAGUGCGAUACGGAUGGCUGUGUGAAAGUCGAGCACCUGCUAAAGGCGCCGGCACACAAGCUCAACCUGAACCGCCAGCGUUGCAGGGGCAUCAUGCUGAUUGUGCUGAACGGAGUGAUCCUGAAGGCCGUCCCCUGCCAGCACGCACUGGUCCGCGAAGCAAGCGGCGCAGUCGACAUGCUGUCGUCCUGUGCCAAGGUGCAAGUGGUGGAGCUCGAUACCAUCUCGGGCUUGGGCUUCACUACCCCGGAGCAGCUGGCAACAUAUGAGGCUGCGAAGGGCAAGUACCUGCUUGCAAAAGCAUCCGCGCUGUGAUAUGCGUGGCGUAAUGAGGGGAAGGACAUUAGAGUAGAACAAUUUCGUUGACACACAUUCGUUGUCGCAGCGAACGUUGCUACUCGGCCUGGUACUGUCAAUCCAUGUAACCAAUGAGUCGAUCGCCAAAACGUCCAAUGAUUUCGCUGUCUGGCUAUAACAAGAAGCAUCAUUGCAUUAUAUUGAUGGCUACACAAAGGUGGUUAAGAAGGACGCUGAAAAGGCGAGCCUUAGUGAGGGACUUGCCCAAUUGGGUUCCUUGCGACAUCGUCAAAUUGCCGGGACAUCUCGUCAGGCCGUUCCUACCGUCGGCACCCUGAAAGGGGCGCCCGACACCGCGGCGAAAGUCGUGGGUAUGGUAAAAAAGGAAGCGGAUAGAGACGAUCGGCAGCCAAGUCCUAAGUGGUCGAGACCCUCCUCUCGAUCAUAUGGAUGCUGUUCACAGACUAAAUGGCGAUGGGUCGUCUGUCACGAUGGGAGCCGCUCCCCCUAUGCGGCUCUAGACAGACGGUUUAAGAUAUAGUCGGGCCCUGCCGAGAGGCAGCCGUUGAGAGGACGGAGUUUGGCAACAAACUCCUGAGAGCUCAUCGGGGUCGGGAUUUAAGUAGUUGGCGGCCGUAAUGGCUGCCAACGGCCAGCCAGGUAUUCACUGGUUUGCCCCUCGACUGGACACUCCGCUAGUAGCUGGUUCCCUCCGAAGUUUCCCCCAGGAUAGCUGGAGCUCGGUCAGUUUUAUCGGGUAAAGCGAAUGAUUAGAGGUACCGGGGAUGAAACAUCCUCGACCUAUUCUCAAACUUUAAAUAGGUAAGACGUCUGGGUUGCUUAAUUGAACCCAGGCACUCAAUGAGAGCUCCAAGU
rnacentral:rRNA from 1 species